CCUGAGGGCCCAGGAACUGCAAUAAAUGAUCACAGGGAAACUUAGAGUUCAGAGAGGGGGUGUGAUUUGCCUGAGGUCACACAGCAAGUUAGAGACCCAGCUCCACGGCUCAUUGUCUUGGCUCUGGCCCUCGUCAUUCUGCCCACCCAGCGGGGCCUCCCAACCCACCACACAGCCAUGGACGGGAAGGUGGCAGUGCACGAGCGUGGGCCUCCUGCGGUCUCCUGGGUCCCCGAGGAGGGAGAGAAGUUGGACCAGGAAGAUGAGGACCAGGAGCCUUCUUCAUCCCCUACUUCAUCUUCUUCUUUGCCUGCGGCAUCCCGGUGUUCUUCCUGGAGGUGGCGUUGGGCCAAUACACCAGCCAAGGGAGUGUCACAGCCUGGAGGAAGAUCUGCCCCCUCUUCCAGGGCAUUGGUCUGGCAUCUGUGGUCAUCGAGUCAUAUUUGAAUGUCUACUACAUCAUCAUCCUUGCCUGGGCUCUCUUCUACCUGUUCAGCUCCUUCACCUCUGAGCUGCCCUGGACGACCUGCAACAACUUUUGGAACACAG
rnacentral:sRNA from 1 species